GAUGAACGCUAGCGGGAGGCUUAACACAUGCAAGUCGAGGGGCAUCACGGGUAGCAAUACCUGGUGGCGACCGGCAAACGGGUGCGCAAUACGUACGCAACCUCCCUUCGAGCGGGGAAUAGCCCAGGGAAACUUGGAUUAAUACCCCAUAAUAUGAUGAAGAGGCAUCUCUUUAUUAUUAAAGCUCCGGCACUUGAAGAUGGGCGUACGGCUGAUUAGGUAGUUGGCGGGGUAACGGCCCACCAAGCCUACGAUCAGUAGCUGAUGUGAGAGCAUGAUCAGCCACACGGGCACUGAGACACGGGCCCGACUCCUACGGGAGGCAGCAGUAAGGAAUAUUGGUCAAUGGACGCAAGUCUGAACCAGCCAUGCCGCGUGGAGGAUGAAGGUCCUCUGGAUUGUAAACUUCUUUUAUCUGGGACGAAACACUUUCUUUUCUAAGGAGCCUGACGGUACCAGAUGAAUAAGCACCGGCUAACUCCGUGCCAGCAG
rnacentral:rRNA from 1 species